AUAGAUAUGCAGAGAGAGAGAGGCAUCGGAAAUCUUUGUGGGGAAGAGAGAGAGAUGACAAUUCUUCAAUUCAGUCUCGCUCUCUCUUCUUCUUCUUCUGCUUCUUUUCCAGUAUUGUUGGGAAGUAAUUUCAAGAUUCCGUCAAAAUAUAUUCCCUCACUCUCACAUUUCUUGAAUUCCAAACACUCCCAUCUUCUUCACUUACCCAAUUCACGAGUUUCUGGAAGUCCCACCAACAAGUCAAGAUUUUCCAAGUCCAAGAUCACUUGCUCUGCCAAGUCUGUGGACCUAGAGAGUUCUGAAAUUGUUAAAGAGAAAAGUGUCUCUGUCAUCCUUUUAGCUGG